GUAUUGGACAAUGGGGGCAACACUGAUCCCGCAACGCCGCCUGUGUGAAGAAGGUGUUCGGCUUGUAAAGAACUUUAAUUUGGGAGGAAGGGCAUUAGGUUGAUGCCAUGAAGGUUUGACGUGACCAACAGAAUCAGGCCCGGCUAGUUCUGCGCCAGCAGCCGCGGUAAUACAGAGGGUGCAAGCGUUAAUCGGAAUUACUGGGCGUAAAGCGCGCGUAGGUGGUUCAGUAAGACUGGUGUGAAAGCCCUGGGCUUAACCUGGGAACUGCUUUCAUAACUGCUGGGCUAGAGUACGGUAGAGGGUAGUGGAAUUUCCUGUGUAGCGGUGAAAUGCGUAGAGAUAGGAAGGAACACCAGUGGCGAAGGCGACUACCUGGACUGUUACUGACACUGAGGUGCGAAAGCGUGGGGAGCAAAC
rnacentral:rRNA from 1 species